GGAGAGUUGUCCGAGUGGUUUAAGGAGCCGGUCUUGAAAACCGGUGAUGCGGCAACGCACCGUGAGUUCGAAUCUCACACUCUCCGCCA
rnacentral:tRNA from 1 species